rnacentral:rRNA from 1 species
AGUGAACGCUGGCGGUAGGCCUAACACAUGCAAGUCGAACGGCAGCACAGUAAGAGCUUGCUCUUACGGGUGGCGAGUGGCGGACGGGUGAGGAAUACAUCGGAAUCUACUUUUUCGUGGGGGAUAACGUAGGGAAACUUACGCUAAUACCGCAUACGACCUACGGGUGAAAGCAGGGGAUCUUCGGACCUUGCGCGAUUGAAUGAGCCGAUGUCGGAUUAGCUAGUUGGCGGGGUAAAGGCCCACCAAGGCGACGAUCCGUAGCUGGUCUGAGAGGAUGAUCAGCCACACUGGAACUGAGACACGGUCCAGACCCCUACGGGAGGCAGCAGUGGGGAAUAUUGGACAAUGGGCGCAAGCCUGAUCCAGCCAUACCGCGUGGGUAAAGAAGGCCUUCGGGUUGUAAAGCCCUUUUGUUGGGAAAGAAAAGCAGCAGGUUAAUACCCCGCUGUUCUGACGGUACCCAAAGAAUAAGCACCGGCUAACUUCGUG